rnacentral:rRNA from 1 species
GGGAAUUUUCCGCAAUGGGCGAAAGCCUGACGGAGCAAUACCGCGUGAGGGAAGAAGGUCUGUGGAUUGUAAACCUCUUUUGUUAGGGAAGAUAAUGACGGUACCUAACGAAUAAGCAUCGGCUAACUCCGUGCCAGCAGCCGCGGUAAGACGGAGGAUGCAAGCGUUAUCCGGAAUUAUUGGGCGUAAAGCGUACGUAGGCGGUUUUAUAAGUCUGUUGUCAAAGCCCGAGGCUUAACCUUGGAAAGGCAAUGGAAACUGUAAGACUAGAGAGAGAUAGGGGCAGGAGGAAUUCCAGGUGUAGCGGUGAAAUGCGUAGAUAUCUGGAAGAACACCAGUGGCGAAAGCGUCCUGCUGGAUCUCAACUGACGCUGAAGUACGAAAGCUAGGGGAGCGAAUGGGAUUAGAUACCCCAGUAGUC